CCCCCCAUAUCGGGUGGGACUAGACAUGCGAGUCGAGCGUCUCUAGCUAUGUUGAGACGCGGCAGACGGCUCAGUACCAUUUGGCUAACCUACCCUCAGGACAGGGACAAACCCGGGAAACUGGGGCUAAUACCAGAUAGGUGAGGAUGCCUGGAAUGGUUUUUCGCUCAAAGGACCUUGGAAACAUGCUUUCAAGUCGCCUGAGGAUGGGGCCGCGUCCGAUCAGGUUGUUGGUGAGGUAACGGCUCACCAAGCCUAUAACCGGUACGGGCCGUGAGAGCGGUAGCCCGGAGAUGGGUACUGAGACAAGGACCCAGGCCCUACGGGGCGCAGCAGUCGCGAAAACUCCGCAAUGCACGAAAGUGUGACGGGACUACCCCGAGUGCUCUCCGCUGAGGAAAGCUUUUCUCGGGUGUAACAAGCCAGGGGAAUAAGGAGAGGGCAAGACUGGUGUCAGCCGCCGCGGUAAUACCAGCUCUCCGAGUGGUAGGGAUGUUUAUUGGGCUUAAAGCGUCCGUAGCCGGCUUAGCAAGUUUCCUGUUAAAUUCAGCGACCUAAUCGUUGAGCCGCGGGAAAUACUACUAGGCUAGGAGGCGGGAGAGGUCAACGGUACUUCCGGGGUAGGGGUGAAAUCCUAUAAUCCCGGGAGG
rnacentral:rRNA from 1 species